AUUGAACGCUGGCGGCGUGCUUAACACAUGCAAGUCGAGCGGAGCGGCGAACGGGUGAGUAACUCGUUAGUAACUGCCCCCCUCUCUGUGAUAACAGUUGGAAACGGCUGCUAAUACCGGAUAGUGUGGGAUGACUGGGGGCCUAUCAGCUUGUUGGUGGGGUAGUGGCCUACCAAGGCGACGCCGGGUAGCCGGCCUGAGAGGGCGACCGGCCACAUGGGGCUGAGGUAGGGACCAAACUGCUACAGGAGGCAGCAGUGGGGAAUAUUGCACAAGGGGGGAAACCCUGAUGCAGAAACGCCGGGGGCGGGAUGACGGCCUUCGGGGGGUAAACCGCUUUCAGCCAUGACGCGGUAGUGGCAGAAGAAGCACCGGCUAACUACGUGCCAGCAGCCGCGGUAAUAC
rnacentral:rRNA from 1 species